rnacentral:rRNA from 1 species
GACGAACGCUGGCGGCGUGCCUAAUACAUGCAAGUAGAACGCUGAAGGAGGAGCUUGCUUCUCUGGAUGAGUUGCGAACGGGUGAGUAACGCGUAGGUAACCUGCCUGGUAGCGUGGGAUAACUAUUGGAAACGAUAGCUAAUACCGCAUAAUAGCAGUUGUUGCAUGACAACUGUUUGAAAGGUGCAAUUGCACCACUACCAGAUGGCCCUGCGUUGUAUUAGCUAGUUGGUGGGGUAACGGCUCACCAAGGCGACGAUACAUAGCCGACCUGAGAGGGGGAUCGGCCACACUGGGACUGAGACACGGCCCAGACGCCUACGGGAGGCAGCAGUAGGGAAUCUUCGGCAAUGGACGGAAGUCUGACCGAGCAACGCCGCGUGAGUGAAGAAGGUUUUCGGAUCGUAAAGCUCUGUUGUAAGAGAAGAACGAGUGUGAGAGUGGAAAGUUCACACUGUGACGGUAGCUUACCAGAAAGGGACGGCUAACUACGUG